AUAUCCCAAGUGCAGGAUGGUGUGAAGAACACAGUGUGCUUUACCUGUGCACUCAUCAGUGUUACAAUCAGAUAGUACAGCGGAGCAAUCAGAAAAUAAUCUUAGUAAACUGUAACUAUGAAAGUCCAAUUAGUUACGGUUGAGCAGAGAAUUCGGAGCAGGAUUUCGGAGUAAAUAGACAACAUCAUGCACUUAACCAAGCUUACUUGUAUGUAGAGGAAAAGAAACCUGCCUGCAAAUUUUUAUUUUGAGUUUUAUGAACACUGUGUUUCAUGUGGGAUGUAUACUUUUCAUUGAGUAGAUGCCUUUACACAUAUAACACUACAAGAACAAUUGCCUAAAGCAAGAAAGCAAGCUGUUGGAUCUACUGAGAUA
ensembl:lncRNA